AGAGUUUGAUCCUGGCUCAGGAUGAACGCUGGCGGUAUGCUUAACACAUGCAAGUCGAACGGAAGUCUUCGGACUUUAGUGGCGGACGGGUGAGUAACGCGUGAGAAUCUGCCUUCAGGUUGGGGACAACAGUUGGAAACGACUGCUAAUACCCAAUGUGCCGAGAGGUGAAAGCUUUAGUGCCUGAAGAGGAGCUCGCGUCCGAUUAGCUAGUUGGAGUGGUAAAGGCACCCCAAGGCGACGAUCGGUAGCUGGUCUGAGAGGAUGAUCAGCCACACUGGGACUGAGACACGGCCCAGACUCCUACGGGAGGCAGCAGUGGGGAAUUUUCCGCAAUGGGCGAAAGCCUGACGGAGCAAUACCGCGUGCGGGAGGAAGGCCCUUGGGUUGUAAACCGCUUUUCUCAGGGAAGAAGUUCUGACGGUACCUGAGGAAUCAGCAUCGGCUAACUCCGUGCCAGCAGCCGCGGUAAUACGGAGGAUGCAAGCGUUAUCCGGAAUUAUUGGGCGUAAAGCGUACGCAGGUGGCACAUCAAGUCUGUUGUUAAAGCGCGGAGCUCAACUCCGUAAAGGCGAUAGAAACUGGUGAGCUAGAGUAUGGUAGGGGCAGGAGGAAUUCCCAGUGUAGCGGUGAAAUGCGUAGAUAUUGGGAAGAACACCAGUGGCGAAAGCGUCCUGCCAAGCCAAAACUGACACUCAUGUACGAAAGCUAGGGGGGCGAAUGGGAUUAGAUACCCCAGUAGUCC
rnacentral:rRNA from 1 species